rnacentral:rRNA from 1 species
UACGAAGGGGACUAGCGUUGUUCGGAAUUACUGGGCGUAAAGCGCACGUAGGCGGAUUUAUAAGUCAGGGGUGAAAUCCCGGGGCUCAACCUCGGAACUGCCUCUGAUACAGCAAGUCUUGAGUCCGGAAGAGGUGGGUGGAAUUCCUAGUGUAGAGGUGAAAUUCGUAGAUAUUAGGAAGAACACCAGUGGCGAAGGCGGCCCACUGGUCCGGUACUGACGCUGAGGUGCGAAAGCGUGGGGAGCAAACAGG